rnacentral:rRNA from 1 species
AGAGGUGGAUCUUGGCUCAGGACGAACGCUGGCGGCGUGCCUAAUACAUGCAAGUCGAACGAGAGCGACCGGUGCUUGCACUGGUCAAUCUAGUGGCGAACGGGUGAGUAACACGUGGGUAACCUGCCCAUCAGAGGGGGAUAACAUCCGGAAACGGAUGCUAAAACCGCAUAGGUCUUCGAGCCGCAUGGCUUGAAGAGGAAAAGAGGCGCAAGCUUCUGCUGAUGGAUGGACCCGCGGUGCAUUAGCUAGUUGGUGAGGUAACGGCUCACCAAGGCCGUGAUGCAUAGCCGACCUGAGAGGGUGAUCGGCCACAUUGGGACUGAGACACGGCCCAAACUCCUACGGGAGGCAGCAGUAGGGAAUCUUCCGCAAUGGACGCAAGUCUGACGGAGCAACGCCGCGUGAGUGAAGAAGGUUUUCGGAUCGUAAAACUCUGUUGUUAGAGAAGAACAAGUGCUAGAGUAACUGUUAGCGCCUUGACGGUAUCUAACCAGAAAGCCACGGCUAACUACGUGCCAGCAGCCGCGGUAAUACGUAGGUGGCAAGCGUUGUCCGGAUUUAUUGGGCGUAAAGCGAGCGCAGGCGGUUCCUUAAGUCUGAUGUGAAAGCCCCCGGCUCAACCGGGGAGGGUCAUUGGAAACUGGGGAACUUGAGUGCAGAAGAGGAGAGUGGAAUUCCAUGUGUAGCGGUGAAAUGCGUAGAUAUAUGGAGGAACACCAGUGGCGAAGGCGACUCUCUGGUCUGUAACUGACGCUGAGGCUCGAAAGCGUGGGUAGCAAACAAGAUUAGAUACCCUGGUAGUCCACGCCGUAAAC